AGUGAAGCGGCAACAGCUCAAAUUUGAAAUCUGGCCCUUUCAGGGCCCGAGUUGUAAUUUGUAGAGAGUGUUUCGGGUGAGACCACGGUCUAAGUCCAUUGGAACAUGGCGUCAUAGAGGGUGAGAAUCCCGUAUGUGACCGUGGAUCGAGCCCAUGUGAAGCCUCUUCGACGAGUCGAGUUGUUUGGGAAUGCAGCUCAAAAUGGGUGGUAAAUUUCAUCUAAAGCUAAAUACUGGCUGGAGACCGAUAGCGCACAAGUAGAGUGAUCGAAAGAUGAAAAGCACUUUGGAAAGAGAGUCAAACAGUACGUGAAAUUGUUGAAAGGGAAGCGCUUGCAACCAGACCUGUCCGUAGGUGAUCAGCCGCUGUUCUCAGUGGUGCACUCGCUCUGCGAUCAGGCCAGCAUCGGUUCGGGCGGUCGGAUAAAGGCCUUGGGAAUGUAGCUCCCUCCGGGGAGUCUUAUAGCCCUCGGUGCAAUGCGGCCAGCCGGGACCGAGGACCGCGCUUCGGCUAGGAUGCUGGCGUAAUGGUUGUAAGCGACCCGUCUUGAAACACGGACCAAGGAGUCUAACAUCUAUGCGAGUGUUUGGGUGUCAAACCCAUGCGCGGAAUGAAAGUGAACGGAGGUGAGAACCCUUAAGGGCGCAUCAUCGACCGAUCCAGAUGUCUUCGGAUGGAUUUGAGUAUGAGCAUAGCUGUUGGGACCCGAAAGAUGGUGAACUAUGCCUGAAUAGGGUGAAGCCAGAGGAAACUCUGGUGGAGGCUCGCAGCGGUUCUGACGUGCAAAUCGAUCGUCAAAUUUGGGUAUAGGGGCGAAAGACUAAUCGAACCAUCUAGU
rnacentral:rRNA from 1 species